rnacentral:lncRNA from 1 species
UUUCCGCUUGGCUCGUAUGGCAAUUCAUAUGGUGGAGAUGCAAACAUCGAUAUCUUACUAUCUUGAUUUUCUAGAACUAUUUAAAUCCCAUGAUGACCAAAAAAUUAUUCUCAUAUAUAAUUCCACUCUUCAAAUACCAAAAUAUCUCAUGUAUCCGUCGAAAGUGUAAUGAGUCUUCUCCAAUGUAGUUAAUACUGUUUGUAUCUUAUAUAGACCAAGUUAGCAUACGCCAAGUGUCCA